AACGAACGCUGGCGGCAUGCCUAACACAUGCAAGUCGAACGAGACCUUCGGGCCUAGUGGCGCAGGGGUGCGUAAGGCGGGGGAACCUGCCCUUAGGUUCGGAAUAACUCCCCGUGAGGGGAGCUAAGACCGGUUAAUGUCUUAGGGCCAAAGAUUUCUCGCCUUUGGGUGGGCCCGGGUUGGAUUAGCUAGUUGGUAGGGUAAAAGCCGACCAAGGCGACGAUCCAUAGCUGGUCUGAGAGGAUGAUCAGCCACGCUGGGACUGAGACACGGCCCAGACUCCUACGGGAGGCAGCAGCGGGGAAUAUUGGACGAUGGGCGAAAGCCUGAUCCAGCAAUGCCGCGUGAGUGAUGAAGGCCUUAGGGUUGUAAAGCUCUUUUACCCGGGAUGAUAAUGACAGUACCGGGAGAAUAAGCUCCGGCUAACUCCGUG
rnacentral:rRNA from 1 species